GUAUAAUAUACGUAUCUUCACUUUGACAAGGCUGGACGACGGUUCUGAAGACAAGGAAAUAACUAACAAUUUAAUACAAAUUUAAAUUUUUAUUUAAUUUCUUUGCUUGGCUGGUGGAGCGUUGGGGUUAAAUCGGUGAUUGUUUUUGAAAAAAUAUAUCAGUGCUAAUAACUACGUUCUGCAAAAUCCUGGGAAACCAUCAUUGUUUGCAAUCGGUGAAGUGUUCAUUUUGUUGAGGACAAAGACAAGCUGUUCUAUCAGUCACAGAACCGACGUCAGCACUUGGAAAGGUGCAAUUGAGAUUCCACUCCAAAUUGUAUGCAAUCUUAGCUACAGAAGUAAGUUUCAUUUUAAUAUCUAGAUAAAAU